GUUCUCAUAGUUAAGUGGAUAUAACGGGGACCUCCUAAGUCUCAAUCCCCAGUUCGACUCUGGGUGGGAACA
rnacentral:tRNA from 5 species